rnacentral:tRNA from 1 species
GGCGAAAGGUGGCGAAGACGCCCAGAUCAAAACUCAUAACCUGAAGGUCGUAGGUUCAAAUCCUACCCCCGCAACCA